rnacentral:rRNA from 1 species
UACGUAGGGUGCGAGCGUUAAUCGGAAUUACUGGGCGUAAAGCGUGCGCAGGCGGUCUCGUAAGACAGGUGUGAAAUCCCCGGGCUUAACCUGGGAACUGCGCUUGUGACUGCGAGGCUGGAGUGCGGAAGAGGGAGGUGGAAUUCCACGUGUAGCAGUGAAAUGCGUAGAGAUGUGGAGGAACACCGAUGGCGAAGGCAGCCCCCUGGUCCAGCACUGACGCUCAUGCACGAAAGCGUGGGGAGCAAAC